GACAGAGGCCCCAAGCGUUAGGCGGAAUCACUGGGCUUAAAGGGCGCGUAGGCGGGCUGCCAAGUUCGGGGUGAAAUCCUCCCGCUCAACGGGAGAACGGCCCCGAAUACUGGCGGUCUCGAGGGAGGUAGGGGCGUGCGGAACUAUGGGUGGAGCGGUGAAAUGCAUUGAGAUCGGAAAGAACACCAACGGCGAAAGCACUCUGCUGGGCCGACACUGACACUGAGAGACGAAAGCUAGGGGAGCAAAUGGG
rnacentral:rRNA from 1 species